rnacentral:rRNA from 1 species
UAACACGGGGGGAGCAAACGUUGUUCGGAAUUACUGGGCGUAAAGGGCGCGUAGGCGGCCACGCAAGUGGUGUGUGAAAUACCCUGGCUCAACCAGGGAACUGCGCACCAAACUGCGUGGCUUGAGGGCAGUAGAGGAAGCUGGAAUUCCUGGUGUAGCGGUGAAAUGCGUAGAUAUCAGGAGGAACACCGCUGGCGAAGGCGGGCUUCUGGGCUGACCCUGACGCUGAUGCGCGAAAGCUGGGGGAGCAAACAGGAUUAGAUACCCUGGUAGUCCCAGCCGUAAACGGUGAACACUAGGUGUGGGGGGUGUCGACCCUCUCUGUGCCGUAGCUAACGCAUUAAGUGUUCCGCCUGGGGAGUACGGUCGCAAGGCUG